GCCAGGCGCGGUGGCUCACGCCUGUAAUCCCAGCACUUUGGGAGGCCGAGGCGGGUGGAUCACGAGGUCAGGAGAUGGAGACCAUCCUGGCUAACACGGUGAAACCCAGUCUCUACUAAAAAUACAAAAAAUUAGNNNNNNNNNNGGACUACAGGCGCCCACCACCGCGCCCGGCUAAUUUUUUUUUUUUUUUUUUUUUUUUUUUUUUUUUUGUAUUUUUAGUAGAGACAGGGUUUCACUGUGUUAGCCAGGAUGGUCUCGUAUCUCCUGACCUCGUGAUCCACCCGCCUCGGC
rfam:Gorilla gorilla gorilla genomic chromosome, chr18, whole genome shotgun sequence